rnacentral:snRNA from 13 species
AAAAAUUAUUUUAGUAUUUGUCCAGUAGGUUUCCUCAAGGAGAAAGCCCCA